UGUACAAACAUAGUCACCAGGCUGUUUGCAUUGAUGGAAAAUACAUAGAUCAUAAAUAUUGUCUGCUAUUCGUACGUGUCUGCAAACAUAUUUAUCUGACAAUAUGCUAAGAAAAUUGAUGUACUUUGGCAGAAAUAUAUUUUCACAGCUGUCUAUCACUUGUUAAUUAACAGCAAACGUCCGAUGCAUUGGGACAGAAACUGAAUAAUAUACAUGGAGGGAACGUUAAUGAUUUUAAGUCUAAACUGGAAUCCAUGCUUCCAGACCAACCGACAUCCCAUCAAGAAAUGCAAAUGAGGGAAGUGACAUUGAAAAUCCUCGCUCGGGAAAAGCUUUGUACUAUAUAACUAGAGCGCAUUAUAUAAACUGUUCUUCAGUAUGGCGGCUGCUGUUUCGUUGGGUGUGAUAAAGGAAUAACAAAAUUA